CGAACGCUGGCGGCAGGCCUAAUACAUGCAAGUCGAACGGCUCUUCGGAGCAGUGGCGGACGGGUGAGUAACGCGUGGGAAUGUGCCCUUUGGUACGGAACAACACAGGGAAACUUGUGCUAAUACCGUAUGUGCCCUUCGGGGGAAAGAUUUAUCGCCAUUGGAGCAGCCCGCGUUGGAUUAGGUAGUUGGUGAGGUAAAGGCUCACCAAGCCUACGAUCCAUAGCUGGUCUGAGAGGAUGACCAGCCACACUGGGACUGAGACACGGCCCAGACUCCUACGGGAGGCAGCAGUAGGGAAUUUUGCGCAAUGGGGGAAACCCUGACGCAGCAAUACCGCGUGAACGACGAAGCUCUUCGGAGUGUAAAGUUCUGUCAGUGGGGACGAAUUUUUGACGGUACCCACAAAGGAAGCAUCGGCUAACUACGUGCCAGCAGCCGCCGUAAGAC
rnacentral:rRNA from 1 species